AUUGGAAUAGUGCUGCAAUAAACAUGGGAGUGUGGAUAUAUCUUAUAUCUUUAAUGUACUAAUUUCCUUUCUUUUGAGUAUAUAUCUAGUAGUGGGAUAGCUGGAUCCUAUGGUAGUUCUAUUUUUAGUUUUUUGAGAAAACUCCAAACUGUUCUCCAUAGUAGUUGUAUUAAUGUAGUUUUCCGCCAGCAGUGUACAAAGUUCCUUUUUCUCCACCUCCUUGCCAGCAUUUGUUAUUGACUGUAAUUUGCAAAUAAGCCAUUUUAACUGGGAUGAGGUGAUAUCUCAUUUUAGUUUUUAUUUGCAUUUCUCUGAUGAUCAUUGAUGUGGAGCACCCUUUCAUAUAUCUAUUUGCCAUUUAUAUGUCUUUUUUAAAUAAAUGUCUAUUCAAAUAUUUUGACCAAUGUUUAAUUUGAUUAUUGGAUGUUUUCUUAGAGUUAUUUGAGCUUCUUGUGUAUUCUUGUUAUUAAUCCAUUGUCAUAUGGAUAGUUGCAAAUAUUUUCUCAUAUUCUGACAAUUGUCUCUUCACUUUGUUGAUUGUUUCCUUUGUUGUGUGGAAGCUUUUUAACGUGAUGUGCUCCUAUUUGUCCAUAUUUGCUUUGGUUGCCUGUGCUUGUGGAGUAUUACUCAAGAAAUCUUUGCCCAGUCCAAUGUCCUGAAGAGUUUCCCAAGGUUUUUAGUUUUUUUUUUUUUUUAGUAGUUUCAUAGUUUGAGAUUGUAUAUUUAAGUCUUCAAGCCAUUUUUAUUUAAUUUUUGUAUAUGGUGAUAGAUAAAGGUGUAGUUUCAUUCUUCUGCAUAUGGGUAUUCAGUUUUCCCAGCACCGUUUAUUGAAGAGACAGCCUUUUCCCCAAUGUUUGCCUUGGCACCUUUGUUGAAAAUGAGCUCACUGUAGGUGUGUGGUUUUAUUUCUGGGUUCUGUAUUCUGUUCCAUUGGUGUAUGUGUCUCUCUCUCUGUGUCUCUAAUAAUAUUUGCUUUCCAUAUUGGGAUGUUUCCUUAUAUGGGAACACUAAAACAUGUUCCCAUAUAAGGAACAAGAAUAUAUGGGAGCAUAUAUAUUUAUAACCAUUGUAUCCUCUUGCUGAAUUUACCUUUUAAUCAUUACAUAAUGACCUUCUUUGUCUUUUCUUAUAGUCUUUGACUUGAAAUCUGUUUUGUCUAAGUAUAGCUACUUCUGCUUUUUUCUGUUUUUCAUUGGCAUGGAAUAUAUUUUUCUAUCUCUUUAUUUUCAGUCAAUGUGUGUCUUUAUAAGUGAAGUGUGUUUCUUGUAGGCAAAAGAUCAUUGAGUCUUAUUUUUUUUAAUCCAUUCAGCCAAUCUAUGUCUUUUGUUUGGAGAGUUUAGUCCAUUUGUGUUCAGUUAUUAUUAAUAAGUCAGGACUAAUUUCUGCCAUUUUAUUUGUUUUCUGAGUUUUCUUUUAUAGUUUUUUCUUCCUUCUUUCAUUCUUAUCUUACUUUUAGCAAAGGUGAA
rnacentral:lncRNA from 1 species